UCAAGAUUUACCAUUAUUAUUGAUAAAUUAUUUCUACCGCCUAAAAGAACUUGCUACAUUUCUUGUCAGUACUUACUGUCAGCAUUCUGAAUUAAGAUCAGGUUCAACAAACAAUGUUUGGUUCCUCAGAUGUGGAAGAAUAAAUAUUUGUUAUGCAACAGUUGUAAUUGUUCCCCUGUUCCCAAAGCAAUUUAAAGUUGGAAUGAGAGAUCAGUGGAAUGGGAAACUUUUGGUGCAUUAGGGACAUUGUCCCACAGACACAAUUAAGAGUGGUGUUGGGAACAAACUGUGUCUGAACUAAAACUCCAAACUGAAAUGACAUUCUCCUACCCAUGUAACAUUUGAAUACAGGAGCAAAUGUUCACCAAAGUAAUUUCAUGAAAUAUGAGAGCUUUUUAGUUCAAAUUAUGACCAAAAUAAUGUUAAUUCAAAGUAAGAACUUAUUAAUUCAAAUGAAAAUUAUCAAAAUGAAAUGCUUGAAUUGAGAAGUAAUCAAUUUAAUUGAUCAGUUCAAUUCAUUGUGAAUUCAAUGACAAAUUUAAUGUUUUUGCUUUUUUAUAUUCAUUGUUCUAGAUAGGUCGAUUUUGUGCAGGAUGGCAUCACAAUUUUGGUAAUGAAAAAAGAUACUGAAAAGCAAUAAAAUAAAUUCCCAGCACAAAAGGGAAUCCAUAUGUUUAAGGCCACAAAAGUAAAGAAGAAAAAGAGCAGGAGGAAGAGGAAAAGCAGGAGAGAGAGGAGGAAGAGGGGAAGAAGUACAGAAUGGGCAGUUAAAGGUAUGAAUUCAGGAAGAUAAACAAUUUAUUACUGAAUUAAAUGUUUUAGGAAAGUUUAUUUUAUUAUACUGUAGAUAAUACCAACCUUUGGCAAAAUUACUCUUCAGAAAUAAAGAGGACAUAACGACUUUCCCACACAAAGCUGAAGGAAUUUAGCACCAUGAUUCACUUUACCAGAAAUGCUAAAAGGAGUUCUUCAAGAGGAAAUGACAGAGAACACUGAUCAAAACCAGAGACAGGGAAAAAUAAUCUUGAACAAGAGAAGAAAGGGAGGUAAAUUGAGAACAGAUGAAACUGCAGAGGUGUUUGUUGGUGGGACCUAGGCAAGAAACUGCUUCUUUUUUCUGACUGAAGUAGGAGGUGGAAUCCUCGGCCAAAAAAGCAAAAGGAUUGCAGAGCAAAGAAGAACUUCAAGAAAUUCAGAUAUGUGAAGUUGAUUUCCAUGGAAACCCCGUCAUCCUCUGAUGACAGUUGUGGCAGCUUUGCUUCUGAUAAUUUUGCAAACACAAGGCUGCAGGUGGACCGUGAGGGCUGUCGGACCCGCAGUCAGGGCACACGGUCUGGACCCCUCCGCGUGGCCAUGAAGUUUCCCACACGACGCACCAGGGGAGCAGCCAGCAAAAGAACCGUGCCCCCUGGGCCCCCGGAGAAUUCUGUGACCGACUCCAAUUCUGACUCGGAAGAUGAAAGUGGCAUGAAUUUCUUGGAGAAAAGGGCUUUAAAUAUAAAGCAAAACAAAGCAAUGCUUGCAAAACUAAUGUCAGAAUUAGAAAGCUUCCCUGGCUCCUUCCCUGGGAGGCGUUCCCUGCCGGGCCCCAGUUCACAUCCAAAGACACCCAGGAGGCGCACGUUUCCAGGUGUCGCCUACAGGAGAAACCCUGAGCGGAGAGCUCGUCCGCUCACCAGGUCCAGGUCCCGGGUCCUUGGGUCACUCAGGGCCCUGCCCACGGAGGAGGAGGAGGAAGAGGAGGACAAAUACUUGUUGGUGAGGAAGAGGAAGCCCAUGGUCGGCUACAUGAAUGAAGAUGACAUGCCCCGAAGUCGUCGCCCCGGACCCAUGACCCUUCCUCAUGUCGUUCGCCCGGUGGAUGAAAUCACGGAGGAAGAGUUGGAGAACAUCUGCAACAACUCCCGAGAGAAGAUCUAUAACCGUUCACUGGGGUCAACUUGUCAUCAGUGCCGUCGAUACCAAGACAAACUGCAGAAACCCAGAGUGCUGGGGCGUUCGAGGCCAAUUCUGUGGUCCCUGCCUUCGAAACCGUUAUGGUGAAGAAGUCAGGGAUGCUCUGCUAGACCCAAACUGGCACUGCCCACCAUGUCGAGGGAUCUGCAACUGCAGCUUCUCUCGGCAGCGAGAUGGGCGGUGUGCGACUGGGGUGCUCGUGUACUUAGCCAAGUACCAUGGCUUUGGGAACGUGCAUGCUUACUUGAAAAGUCUAAAACAGGAGUUUGAAAUGCAAGGAUAAUAAUUGGAAGAUCCGCUACCUGCCUUCCACUUCGCAACUCUUCCUUGUUAAAGUUUCCAGCUUUAUCAUGUGAUGGAAAUCCGGGUUAAGAAUUCUGAGGCUCAGUCUGCCUUAUAGGCAAAUCAAGUUGUCGUCAUUAAAUGCGCACGUGUGUCUGGGCAUCCCAGAAGUGUAGUGCCAGCUGUCCUCUGCCCUCCUGCAGUGUCUCCUUUGCUUUUCUGCCCACCCUCGCCCCGUGCUGUCCUCUUACUUUCAAUGAUUCUCCUCCAUCAUUUAGUUUCGGAAUCCUUUUUAAACGACAGUUUCAUGAAAGCAUGUUGGAUUUAAUUGGCGUUGAAAUAGCCCUGGAAUCCACACAUAAAACCAAGCACUUAGAAACACAGUGGUAGUAUUAACUACCUCUACCCAGUUUCAGAGACUAUCCCUGUAACUU